rnacentral:rRNA from 1 species
AACGCUAGCUACAGGCUUAACACAUGCAAGUCGAGGGGAAACGAUAUUGGAAGCUUGCUUCCGAUAGGCGUCGACCGGCGCACGGGUGAGUAACGCGUAUCCAACCUGCCCGCCACUUGGGGAUAACCUUGCGAAAGUAAGACUAAUACCCAAUGACGUCUCUAGAAGACAUCUGAAAGAGAUUAAAGAUUUAUCGGUGAUGGAUGGGGAUGCGUCUGAUUAGCUUGUUGGCGGGGUAACGGCCCACCAAGGCGACGAUCAGUAGGGGUUCUGAGAGGAAGGUCCCCCACAUUGGAACUGAGACACGGUCCAAACUCCUACGGGAGGCAGCAGUGAGGAAUAUUGGUCAAUGGACGAGAGUCUGAACCAGCCAAGUAGCGUGCAGGAUGACGGCCCUAUGGGUUGUAAACUGCUUUUAUAAGGGAAUAAAGUGAGUCUCGUGAGACUUUUUGCAUGUACCUUAUGAAUAAGGACCGGCUAAUUCCGUGCCAGCAGCCGCGGUAAUACGGAAGGUCCGGGCGUUAUCCGGAUUUAUUGGGUUUAAAGGGAGCGUAGGCCGGAGAUUAAGCGUGUUGUGAAAUGUAGACGCUCAACGUCUGCACUGCAGCGCGAACUGGUUUCCUUGAGUACGCACAAAGUGGGCGGAAUUCGUGGUGUAGCGGUGAAAUGCUUAGAUAUCACGAAGAACUCCGAUUG